GUACACGCUGUGACUAGCAUAUCAAUAAGCGGAGGAAAAGAAACUAACAAGGAUUCCCCUAGUAACGGCGAGUGGAAGCGGGAAGAGCUCAAAUUUGAAAUCUUAAAGGGUUUCCCUUUACGAAUUGUAGUUUAAAGAAGUGUUUUCUGUUGAGGUUUUGGUAAAAGUUCUUUGGAAUAGGACAUCAUAGAGGGUGAGAAUCCCGUAUUUGACCUUUACUUUCAACUUUGUGAUACACUUUCAAAGAGUCGGAUUGUUUGGGAAUGCAGUCCAAAAUGGGUGGUAAAUUUCAUCUAAAGCUAAAUAUUGGCGAGAGACCGAUAGCGAACAAGUACCGUGAGGGAAAGAUGAAAAGAACUUUGAAAAGAGAUGUUAAACAGUACGUGAAAUUGUCAAAAGGGAAGCGUUUGACUCCAGUGUUGUUUUUCUGAAAAUCAAUUAAAGAACUGUUUAUGCUAAGCUGUUUAGACUUUAUCAGCUAUCUGUUUAGUUUUGAGCUUUUCUUUAAUGCACUUUUCAGUUAACAAGUCAACAUCAAUUUCUUUUGCUGUAAAAAAGCUUGAGGAAGGUGGCUUGAGAUUCGUCUUAAGUGUUUAUAGCCUCUUGCCUAUGCAGUCGGAGAGAUUGAGGUCUGCAGCGUAGAUCCUUCGGGGCUAAAUGCAUUUGUGCUAAGUUAUAGCAUUUUAUAGACAACUUGUUGACUAUGAUUUGUCUUGUAGCUUACUCGCUUAUGUUAUUUUACCUACGCUUAGGAUGUUGAAGAUGUAGCACAUCAU
rnacentral:rRNA from 1 species